UAGCGAGUAAAGCCUAUCCGAAACAAUGAUGCCUGCAUUAGUGGGUUAGGAGGAUUAGGAUAGGGGUCGCUU
rnacentral:ncRNA from 1 species